rnacentral:rRNA from 1 species
AUUGAACGCUGGCGGCAUGCCUUACACAUGCAAGUCGAACGGUAACAGGUCUUCGGAUGCUGACGAGUGGCGAACGGGUGAGUAAUACAUCGGAACGUGCCUAGUAGUGGGGGAUAACUACUCGAAAGAGUGGCUAAUACCGCAUGAGAUCUACGGAUGAGAGCAGGGGAUCGCAAGACCUUGUGCUACUAGAGCGGCCGAUGGCAGAUUAGGUAGUUGGUGGGAUAAAAGCUUACCAAGCCGACGAUCUGUAGCUGGUCUGAGAGGACGAUCAGCCACACUGGGACUGGGAGACGGCCCAGACUCCUACGGGAGGCAGCAGUGGGGAAUUUUGAACAAUGGGCGCAAGCCUGAUCCAGCAAUGCCGCGUGCAGGAUGAAGGCCUUCGGGUUGUAAACUGCUUUUGUACGGAACGAAAAGCCCUGGGUUAAUACCCUGGGGUCAUGACGGUACCGUAAGGAUAAGCACCGGCUAACUACGUGCCAGCCGCCGCCGUAACAC